GGGGGAAUCGCAUAGUGGCAAUUGCAGUGGACUGUAAAUCCACCCCGUAAGGUUCGUAGGGUCGAGUCCUGCUUCCCCCA
rnacentral:tRNA from 1 species